rnacentral:rRNA from 1 species
CUGACCCCAUGCCGAACUCAGAAGUGAAACGCCGUAGCGCCGAUGGUAGUGUGGGGUCUCCCCAUGCGAGAGUAGGGAACUGCCAGGU